rnacentral:ncRNA from 2 species
AAUACCCACUGGGGGAGCCUCUGACGUUGAGGCUGAGAUAAGGAAAUACAUUCCUUGACCCUUGGAACCUGAUCGGCAUGCGGUUAGCAUGCUUCUGGAUGAUACCAGCGUAGGGAAGUGGACGAGCGCAGAG